rnacentral:rRNA from 1 species
GCGUAAGGGAGAGUAACACGUGGGUACUUACCCCCGGGACCGGGAUAGCUGCGGGAAACUGCAAUUAAUACCGGAUAACGUCCCCGGACCAAAGGUGUGAUUCCGCCUGGGGAGGGGCCCGCGUCCUAUCAGCUAGUUGGAGAGGUAACGGCUCACCAAGGCAAUGACGGGUACGGGGUGUGAGAGCAUGCCCCCGCUCACUGGGACUGAGACACUGCCCAGACACCUACGGGUGGCUGCAGUCGAGAAUCUUCCGCAAUGGGCGAAAGCCUGACGGAGCGACGCCGCGUGCGGGAUGAAGGCCUUCGGGUUGUAAACCGCUGUCGGAUGGGAGGAAAUUCAUGGGGGUUCUCCCCUGUGAUUGACUGAACAUCGGAGGAAGCACAGGCUAAGUUCGUGCCAGCAGCCGCGGUAACACGAACUGUGCAAACGUUAUUCGGAUUUACUGGGCUUAAAGAGUUCGUAGGCGGCUUGAUAAGUCGGGUGUGAAAUCCCCCAGCCCAACUGGUGAACUGCGCUCGAUACUGUCGGGCUCGAGGGAGAUAGAGGUGAGCGGAACUGAUGGUGGAGCAGUGAAAUGCGUUGAUAUUAUCAGGAACACCGGUGGCGAAAGCGGCUCACAGGGUCUCAACUGACGCUGAGGAACGAAAGCUAGGGGAGCGAACGGGAUUAGAUACCCCGGUAGUCCUAGCCGUAAACGAUGAGCACUAGGUUGAGGGGACCUCCACAUCCCCCCGGCCGUAGCGAAAGUGUUAAGUGCUCCGCCUGGAGAGUAUGGUCGCAAGGCUG